UACGGGGGGAGCAAGCGUUGUUCGGAUUUACUGGGUGUAAAGGGCGCGUAGGCGGUUCGCUACGUUGAAUGUGAAAACUCUGGGCUUAACCCAGAGCCUGCAUUCAAUACUGGCGGGCUAGAGUUCUGGAGGGGAUAGCGGAAUUCCUGGUGUAGCGGUGAAAUGCGUAGAUAUCAGGAGGAACACCGGUGGCGAAGGCGGCUAUCUGGACAGAGUCUGACGCUGAGGCGCGAAAGCUAGGGGAGCAAACAGG
rnacentral:rRNA from 1 species